AUUGAACGCUGGCGGCAGGCUUAACACAUGCAAGUCGAGCGGUAGCACAAGAGAGCUUGCUCUCUGGGUGACGAGCGGCGGACGGGUGAGUAAUGUCUGGGAAACUGCCUGAUGGAGGGGGAUAACUACUGGAAACGGUAGCUAAUACCGCAUAACGUCGCAAGACCAAAGAGGGGGACCUUCGGGCCUCUUGCCAUCAGAUGUGCCCAGAUGGGAUUAGCUAGUAGGUGGGGUAAUGGCUCACCUAGGCGACGAUCCCUAGCUGGUCUGAGAGGAUGACCAGCCACACUGGAACUGAGACACGGUCCAGACUCCUACGGGAGGCAGCAGUGGGGAAUAUUGCACAAUGGGCGCAAGCCUGAUGCAGCCAUGCCGCGUGUGUGAAGAAGGCCUUCGGGUUGUAAAGCACUUUCAGCGAGGAGGAAGGUGGUGAACUUAAUACGUUCAUCAAUUGACGGUACUCGCAGAAGAAGCACCGGCUAACUCCGUG
rnacentral:rRNA from 1 species